UAGCUUUUUCAUGAUUCGGUGGAUGGUGGUGCAUGGCCGUUCUUAGUUCGUGGAGCGAUUUGUCUGGUUUAUUCCGAUAACGAGCGAGACUCUGGCCUACUAAAUAGUUGACGCAUUGCCUCUGUGCGCACAACUUCUUAGAGGGAUUUUCGGUGUUCAGCCGCACGAAAUUGAGCAAUAACAGGUCUGUGAUGCCCUUAGAUGUCCGGGGCUGCACGCGCGCUACACUGGCAAAAUCAGCGUGCUUGUCCUUCCCCGAAAGGGGUUGGUAAACCCGUGAAAAUUUGCCGUGAUUGGGAUCGGACAUUGCAAUUAUUGUCCGUGAACGAGGAAUUCCUUGUAGGGGCGAGUCAUCAACUCGCUCU
rnacentral:rRNA from 1 species